GGGUCCGUAAGUACCCAGUGGCAGACGGGUGAGUAACGCGUAGGAAUCUACCCCUAGGUAAAGCAUAGCCGGCCGAAAGGUCGGGUAAUACUGUAUGGUCUCGCAAGAGUAAAGGACUUAACGGUCCGCCAAGGGAGGAGCCUGCGUCCUAUCAGCUUGUUGGCGGGGUAAAUGCCCACCAAGGCGAUGACGGGUAGCUGGACUGAGAGGUCGAUCAGCCACAACUGCACUGAGACACGGGCAGUACAUCUACGGAUGGCAGCAACCAGGAAUAUUGCGCAAUGGACGAAAGUCUGACGCAGCGACGCCGCGUGGAGGAAGACGGCCUUCGGGUUGUAAACUCCUUUUGCCAAGCCGUUCACAGCUUGGCGAAUAAGCCUCUACUAACUACGUGCCAGAAGUCUCGGUAAUACGUAGGAGGCAAGCGUUAUCCGGAUUCACUGGGCGUAAAGUGUGCGUAGGCGUUCUAUAAAGUCUUCACUUAAAGACCAAGGCUUACCCUUGGGACUGGUGAGGAUACUCAUAGAAUGGAGGAUUGAUUGGGGUACUGGAACAGUUAGUGUAGCAGUGAAAUGCGUUGAUAUUAACUGGAACACUAAGGGCGAAGGCAAGUACCUGAAUUUUUCCUGACGCUGAGGCACGAAAGCUAGGGUAGCGAAACAGAUUAGAUACCUGUGUAGUCCUAGCCGUAAACGAUGUCCGCUAACUAUCUCUGAUUUAUCGGAGGUGGUUCAAGCUAACGCAUUAAGCGGACCGCCUGGGGAGUACGACCGCAAGGUUAAAACUCAAAGGAAUUGACGGGGACCCGCACAACUGGUGGAGCGUGUGGUUUAAUUCGAGACGAAGCGAAACACCUUACCAGGGCUUGACAUGCUAUCGUUUUAUACCUUUGGAAACAUUGGUAGAUCCGCAAGGAUGAUAGCACAGGUGAUGCAUGGCUGUCGUCAGCUCGUGCCGUGAGGUGUUCCCUUAAGUGGGGAAACGAGCGCAACCCGCACCUAAUGUUAAAUAUUCAUUAGGAACAGCCCCUCACUCAAGCACAGAAUGCUUGAGAAAUUCUAAAUACUAAUAUCUAAAUUCUAAACUGUUUGAAUUUUUAUUUUUGAAAUUGUUUAGGAUUUAGGAUUUUGAAAUUAGAAUUUACUCAAAAAUAUUCUAUUUUUGAGUGAGGGGAGGAAGGAGCGGAAGACGUCAAGUCAGCACGUCCCUUAUGCCCUGGGUUACACACACCCUACAAUGGCGAAUAACAAUGGGCUGCAAGCCGGUAACGGCAAGCGAAUCCCACAA
rnacentral:rRNA from 1 species